AUUGAACGCUGGCGGCAGGCCUAACACAUGCAAGUCGAGCGGAGCGGCGGACGGGUGAGGAAUGCCUAGGAAUCUGCAUGGUAGUGGGGGAUAACGUCCGGAAACGGGCGCCAAUACCGCAUACUAUCAGACGAGCUUAGGUCGGAUUAGCUAGUUGGUGGGGUAAAGGCCUACCAAGGCGACGAUCCGUAACUGGUCUGAGGGGCUGAUCAGUCAAACUGGAACUGGGAAACGGUCCAGACUCCUACGGGGGGCAGCAGUGGGGAAUAUUGGACAAUGAGCGAAAGCCUGAUCCAGCCAUGCCGCGUGUGUUAAGAAGGUUUUCGGGUUGUAAAGCACUUUAAGCUGGACGGCGUUACCAGCAGAAUAAGCACCGGCUAACUUCGUGCCAGCAGCCGCGGUAAUAC
rnacentral:rRNA from 1 species